UACAGAGGUCUCAAGCGUUGUUCGGAUUCAUUGGGCGUAAAGGGUGCGUAGGCGGCGCGGUAAGUCGGGUGUGAAAUCUCGGAGCUUAACUCCGAAACUGCAUUCGAUACUGCCGUGCUUGAGGACUGGAGAGGAGACUGGAAUUUACGGUGUAGCGGUGAAAUGCGUAGAUAUGACAUAGAACACCAAUUGCGAAGGCAGCUCGCUACACGAAUAUUGACUCUGAGGCACGAAAGCGUGGGGAUCAAACAGG
rnacentral:rRNA from 1 species